rnacentral:rRNA from 1 species
UACGAAGGGGGCUAGCGUUGUUCGGAAUUACUGGGCGUAAAGCGUGCGCAGGCGGCUGCUCAAGUCAGGGGUGAAAGCCCAGAGCUCAACUCUGGAAUUGCCUUUGAGACUGAGUGGCUUGAGUACGGGAGAGGUGAGUGGAAUUCCCAGUGUAGAGGUGAAAUUCGUAGAUAUUGGGAAGAACACCGGUGGCGAAGGCGGCGUCACUGGCC